CCGUCUUGUUUACCCCACACUUUUGGGCAGGAAACUAGUAAAGUAAAGUUAACGGCGCCACCGUUAAUUAUUUGAAGCGUGCCUCAUCCUGCCCUGGAGAAUCCCUGAAAACCUACAAAAGCCUGGAGGGGUGUAAAUGAACCAAAUCAGGAUUUAUGAAAAGAAUUAACCAUUGGAGUUUACCAGCGUUUUGUUGUCAGAGAUGACAGAUUACAUGUUCAUCCCGACCAGAUGUUUCACAAUAAAAGCCUGGGGAAAAAAUGAAUGGCUUCUCUUCAGUAAUUUCUAACAGAUCCAAUGUUGACAUUGACAUGAUGGAUUCAUGCAUCUUCGGCUGUAUCUUCGCAACCUUUACAUCUUCACAGAGGCGAAGAAACAGAAAAACACAUUAGUGGAGGAAGCUACGAAGAGAAAUGAAGAGGCCGAGUGUUGUGGAAGUGAACUGCACU